UACGUAGGGGGCUAGCGUUGUCCGGAAUCAUUGGGCGUAAAGCGCGCGUAGGCGGCCCGGCAAGUCCGCUCUGAAAGCCCAGGGCUCAACCCUGGAAUGCGGGUGGAUACUGCCGGGCUAGAGUCCGGAAGAGGCGAGUGGAAUUCCUGGUGUAGCGGUGGAAUGCGCAGAUAUCAGGAGGAACACCAAUAGCGAAGGCAGCUCGCUGGGACGGUACUGACGCUAAGGCGCGAAAGCGUGGGGAGCAAACAGG
rnacentral:rRNA from 1 species